rnacentral:rRNA from 1 species
UACAGAGGGUGCGAGCGUUACUCGGAAUUACUGGGCGUAAAGCGCACGUAGGUGGCGACGUAAGUCGGGUGUGAAAGCCCCGGGCUCAACCUGGGAAUUGCAUUCGAGACUGCAUUGCUGGAGUACGGAAGAGGAAGGCGGAAUUCCCGGUGUAGCGGUGAAAUGCGUAGAGAUCAUGAGGAAGACCAGUGGCGAAGGCGGGUCUCUGGACAGUUCCUGACACUGAGACACGAAGGCCAGGGGAGCAAACGGG